rnacentral:rRNA from 1 species
AGCGAACGCUGGCGGCAGGCUUAACACAUGCAAGUCGAACGGGCACUUCGGUGUCAGUGGCAGACGGGUGAGUAACGCGUGGGAACAUAUCUCUUGGUUCGGAACAACACAGGGAAACUUGUGCUAAUACCGGAUAAGCCCUUACGGGGAAAGAUUUAUCGCCGAGAGAUUGGCCCGCGUCUGAUUAGCUAGUUGGUGUGGUAAAAGCGCACCAAGGCGACGAUCAGUAGCNGGUCUGAGAGGAUGAUCAGCCACAUUGGGACUGAGACACGGCCCAAACUCUACGGGAGGCAGCAGUGGGGAAUAUUGGACAAUGGGCGCAAGCCUGAUCCAGCCAUGCCGCGUGAGUGAUGAAGGCCCUAGGGUUGUAAAGCUCUUUUGUACGGGAAGAUAAUGACGGUACCGUAAGAAUAAGCCCCGGCUAACUUCGUGCCA